ACCAGGAUGACCGAGUGGUUAAGGCGAUGGACUUAAGAUCCAAUGGACGGCUGUCCUCCUGGGUUUGAAGCCCACUCCUGGUA
rnacentral:tRNA from 1 species